UUAAUGCAUCUAAAAAAUCAAAUCAGUACGAAUGAACAUUUUAUGGUUCACAACCUUGAUUUUCGGGUCUAUUUCCAAUCAUUUUGUGGGUACAGAUGUUUUUCACUAAUUAAACAAGUACUUAAAAGGGAAUAUAGUCAAAAGAGAAGGCGUCCACCUCAGCAAAUAAAAUCAACGAAUGAGGGAGUACUAUACUGCCACAUCAAUUUAUUCUUUCACCACCGUUCUCUUCAUCUCCUUCCCGAUGAAUCUCUUGGUUUCCUUCCCUGCGAAUUCAUAACCGCUUCUUAUACAGUUAAUUGCAUAAAUUAAUUGAUUAACGUUAUGACCCUUAAUAUAUAAAUCGAGUGAUGGCCGAAUCUAAUUCUCAGUUUUUCUCACGCUUAGGUUUUUGACUUAUAGAGCUUGAGAUUUGUUUUCCUUUCGCUAGCUUAUUCUUAUGCUCUUUGUCAUCGAUUUUUAUUUGGAUCUCGCAUUAGGUAUAGAAUAACUUCCGGAAUACUAUUCUGAUCUGACACUAUAUUUAAUUUGUUUAGGUUAUAAGGAGGACUUGCAAGGAUCGAGAUGGAUGCCGCUUCAGAAGGUAGCAAUCUCAUGGAGAAGGUCAGUAGGUACCUCCUUCGUUGGUUAGAAUCUAAAAACACUAUAUUGGUUUGUGGGUUUCAGUAGAGUUGAGAACUUGGCUUUAAAUUUGUAUGCAGGAGAUCGAGUUUGAGUUGGAGGCUAAGGGAAGAAAUAUUUUUCAGGAAAAGGAAAUAAUUUAGAGGUAUUUACAUAAUGUUAAUGCUUGUGGCUUUUAGUUGGGAAAUGCAUACGCGGAUUGUUUCUUCUUCUUUUUUUUUUUUUUUUGGACAAAUGUUGAUUGUUUCUUCCUGUUCUGUAGUAAUUGAAGAUAAGAAACUAAAGACUCAGCUUGCUUCACGAGAAAAUUUAUAUGGCAAAUUUCUACUCUUAACUUAUCAACAUCAAAGUUUCAACUCGGUGAAUAUCUGAAAUCUUGCGUAAGUCAAUCUUGAGGUUAACAAGGAAAAUCCAAGUACUAUCACCAUUUGUAUUCAUUCCAGUCCUGAGUUAGUAUCUGACAGUAUAUAUUUAUAUAUUACAAUAUCCCUUGCUUCACGAUGCCAGUCGUGAGCUUAUGUUGUUGACUCCUUUAAUGUUGGUACUGAACAUGUUUCUCUUUCUCCCAGAAUUCAAGCAUCGGCAUGAAGAAGUCAAAGCUGAUUUAGCAGCAGCAUGCAUGAUCCAAUGUUUCUCUCAGUCAAGCUCAUUCCCAGAGAGCAACUUGCACUAAUCUGUAGUUUAAUUGGUUAAAAUGUAUGGUUUCAUGAUGAUCUUACUCAUGUUUCUCACUCUUUCUUUGCUAAUGAUGCAGAGUGUGGAGUUUCUGUUCCUGAUGACAAGAGACUUUUCAAGUUAGUAAGCAUGUCUGGUGCUCUUGAGGAACUGUACUAUCGUGGAAAGACAUCCUUUCCAAAAAGAUAAUUAUUCAGGCUGGUUCUGAACAAGAAGAUAUUAGACAUACAAUUGCACAAGUUGGUAUCUCGACAUGGCGCUGUAACUAUUUAUUACCUUUACUUAUGUCAGUUUUAAUUUCUUUUUUAAUUGGGAAAAGUUGGAUUUUUAUCUCAUCCUGAACCAACCUGACUAGCAGGGGAAGAAUGUCAAUCAACAGAACCCAAAUAUUCUAUGAUCACCAGAUGAUGCUGAAAAGUUUGCAUUGUGACUGACUAUUAGUUAAUUUCUUUUACAAGUUUGGAACUAAUAUAUUUUCUGAUUGAAACA